rnacentral:rRNA from 1 species
UACGUAGGGGGCAAGCGUUGUCCGGAUUUAUUGGGCGUAAAGAGCGUGUAGGCGGCUUGGUAGGUCCGCUGUGAAAACUCGAGGCUCAACCUCGAGAUGUCGGCGGAAACCACUUGGCUAGAGUCCGGAAGAGGAGAGUGGAAUUCCUGGUGUAGCGGUGAAAUGCGCAGAUAUCAGGAAGAACACCUAUGGCGAAGGCAGCUCUCUGGGACGGUACUGACGCCGAGACGCGAAAGCGUGGGGAGCGAACAGG